UUAAGUUCAGCGGGUAUUCCUACCUGAUCCGAGGUCAAACGUUCAGAAGUUGGGGGUUUAACGGCGUGGCCGCGCUGUUUCCCAGUGCGAGGUGUGCUACUACGCAGAGGAAGCUACAGCGAGACCGCCACUAGAUUUCGGGGCCGGCGCGCCGGAGGGCGGCCGAUCCCCAACACCAAGCCCGGGGGCUUGAGGGUUGA
rnacentral:misc_RNA from 1 species